rnacentral:misc_RNA from 1 species
CAUCAAACCCGAUUGAAACGGCAGCCCCGAGGCACGAGGCCUACAGUGCAAAGCGGGGGCUUAA